rnacentral:rRNA from 1 species
GACGAACGCUGGCGGCGUGCUUAACACAUGCAAGUCGAACGGUGAUGCUCCAGCUUGCUGGAGUGGAUCAGUGGCGAACGGGUGAGUAACACGUGAGCAACCUGCCCCAGACUCUGGAAUAAGCGCUGGAAACGGCGUCUAAUACUGGAUACGAAACUGGCCCGCAUGGGCAUGGUUUGGAAAGUUUUUCGGUUUGGGAUGGGCUCGCGGCCUAUCAGCUUGUUGGUGAGGUAAUGGCUCACCAAGGCGACGACGGGUAGCCGGCCUGAGAGGGCGACCGGCCACACUGGGACUGAGACACGGUCCAGACUCCUACGGGAGGCAGCAGUGGGGAAUAUUGCACAAUGGGCGAAAGCCUGAUGCAGCGACGCCGCGUGAGGGAUGACGGCCUUCGGGUUGUAAACCUCUUUCAGCAGGGAAGAAGCGAAAGUGACGGUACCUGCAGAAGAAGCACCGGCUAACUACGUG